rnacentral:rRNA from 1 species
UACAGAGGGGGCUAGCGUUAUUCGGAAUUAUUGGGCGUAAAGGGCGCGUAGGCGGCCAUGCGUGUCUUCCGUGAAACCCCUCGGCUUAAUUGAGGACGUGCGGAAGAAACUGCAAGGCUCGAGUCCGGGAGAGGGGGGUGGAAUUCCCAGUGUAGCGGUGAAAUGCGUAGAUAUUGGGAAGAACACCAGUGGCGAAGGCGGCUCUCUGGACAUUUCCUGACGCUGAGGCACGAAAGCCAGGGGAGCAAACGGG